UUUAACAUCUCUGUGUGAAUUAGUUAAAUAGUCUAGCCUGGGCACUGAUUUAUUUAAAGGGCCGCGGUAAUAUGACCGUGCGUUGGUACCAUUGUCAGUAGUCUUUUAAUUGGACGCUUGAAUGAAUGGUUGGACGACGGAUAAACUGUCUGCAAAGCGGCGAUUGUAAUUAACUUUUGACUGAAAAGGCAGAAAUUGUUUAGCGGCAGGAUAAGACCCUAUAAAACUUAAUAUAAUUAAGGCAUUACUUGCCUUGUGGGUGAAUAGUAGUUAUGUCUGGUAUAUAUAUCGUUGGGGAGAUGAAGAUAUUAUGAGUAACUGUGUAAUAAAAUAUAUAGCAUUGACUAGAAUUUGAUCCUUCCUUGCCGAUUAGGAGUAUAAGUUACUUUACCGAUAUCAGCGUGAUAUACUAAGAGAGUUCUUAUCGACAAGAGUAGUUGCGAGGUCGAUGAAGAAUUAAAAUUUCAGCUAGGUGUAGCCGAUAGCUGC
rnacentral:rRNA from 1 species